rnacentral:lncRNA from 1 species
ACUACACUCGGUGUCUAGCAAAUAAUCCGCCAAAGAGUUUGCGCCUAGCUCUAGUCGGAUAAAUCGACAAAUGUGUGCCCAGCACUAGCCAGAUAAAUUGACGGAGGUUGCGCCUAGCGCUAGCCGGAUAAAUUGACGAAUAAUUAGUGAGCCCAGCUCUAGUUGGAUAAACCAACGAUAUUUGCGCCUAGUGCUAGUUGGAUAGACCGACGAAUGUGUGCCCAACACUAGUCAGAUAAACUGACGAAAGUUGCGCCCAGCGCUAAUCGAAUAAACCGACG